rnacentral:rRNA from 1 species
UACGAAGGGGACUAGCGUUGUUCGGAAUCACUGGGCGUAAAGCGCACGUAGGCGGAUGUGUCAGUCAGGGGUGAAAUCCCGGGGCUCAACCUCGGAACUGCCUUUGAUACAGCACGUCUCGAGUCCGGAAGAGGUGGGUGGAAUUCCUAGUGUAGAGGUGAAAUUCGUAGAUAUCGGGAGGAACACCAGUGGCGAAGGCGGCGAUCUGGGAAGAUACUGACGCUGAGGAGCGAAAGCCAGGGGAGCAAACGGG